rnacentral:tRNA from 1 species
GGGAGCGUGGCCGAGCGGCUUAUGGCGGCACCCUUGAAAGGUGCAGGGGCGGCGACGCCUCCGUGAGUUCGAAUCUCACCGCUCCCGCCA